rnacentral:rRNA from 1 species
CAGUCGCCACGGUAACACAGAGGGUGCGAGCGUUAAUCGGAUUUACUGGGCGUAAAGCGUGUGUAGGCGGCUUCUUAAGUCGGAUGUGAAAUCCCUGAGCUUAACUUAGGAAUUGCAUUCGAUACUGGGAAGCUAGAGUAUGGGAGAGGAUGGUAGAAUUCCAGGUGUAGCGGUGAAAUGCGUAGAGAUCUGGAGGAAUACCGAUGGCGAAGGCAGCCAUCUGACCUAAUACUGACGCUGAGGUACGAAAGCAUGGGGAGCAAACAGGAUUAGAUACCCUGUAGUCCCUGUCUCUUAUACA